CCGUUCAACUCGUCCCUGCGAGACAGGGACUACGGGAG
rnacentral:ncRNA from 1 species